UAGGGAAUCUUCUGCAAUGGGCGAAAGCCUGACGGAGCAACGCCGCGUGAGUGAUGAAGGUCUUCGGAUCGUAAAACUCUGUUAUUAGGGAAGAACAAAUGUGUAAGUAACUAUGCACGUCUUGACGGUACCUAAUCAGAAAGCCACGGCUAACUACGUGCCAGCAGCCGCGGUAAUACGUAGGUGGCAAGCGUUAUCCGGAAUUAUUGGGCGUAAAGCGCGCGUAGGCGGUUUUUUAAGUCUGAUGUGAAAGCCCACGGCUCAACCGUGGAGGGUCAUUGGAAACUGGAAAACUUGAGUGCAGAAGAGGAAAGUGGAAUUCCAUGUGUAGCGGUGAAAUGCGCAGAGAUAUGGAGGAACACCAGUGGCGAAGGCGACUUUCUGGUCUGUAACUGACGCUGAUGUGCGAAAGCGUGGGGAUCAAACAGG
rnacentral:rRNA from 1 species